GACGAACGCUGGCGGCGUGCUUAACACAUGCAAGUCGAACGGAAAGGCCCUGCAUUUGUGGGGUGCUUGAGUGGCGAACGGGUGAGUAACACGAGAGUAACCUGCCCUUGACUUUGGGAUAACUUCAGGAAACUGGGGCUAAUACCGGAUAGGAGCUCCUGCUGCAUGGUGGGGGUUGGAAAGUUUCGGCGGUUGGGGAUGGACUCGCGGCUUAUCAGCUUGUUGGUGGGGUAGUGGCUUACCAAGGCUUUGACGGGUAGCCGGCCUGAGAGGGUGACCGGCCACAUUGGGACUGAGAUACGGCCCAGACUCCUACGGGAGGCAGCAGUGGGGAAUAUUGCACAAUGGGCGGAAGCCUGAUGCAGCAACGCCGCGUGCGGGAUGACGGCCUUCGGGUUGUAAACCGCUUUCGCCUGUGACGAAGCGUGAGUGACGGUAAUGGGUAAAGAAGCACCGGCUAACUACGUG
rnacentral:rRNA from 1 species